AUUGAACGCUGGCGGCAUGCUUUACACAUGCAAGUCGAACGGUAACAGCACUUCGGUGGCUGACGAGUGGCGAACGGGUGAGUAAUACAUCGGAACGUGCCUAGUAGUGGGGGAUAACUACUCGAAAGAGUAGCUAAUACCGCAUGAGAUCUAAGGAUGAAAGCAGGGGACCUUCGGGCCUUGCGCUACUAGAGCGGCUGAUGGCAGAUUAGGUAGUUGGUGGGAUAAAAGCUUACCAAGCCGACGAUCUGUAGCUGGUCUGAGAGGACGACCAGCCACACUGGGACUGAGACACGGCCCAGACUCCUACGGGAGGCAGCAGUGGGGAAUUUUGGACAAUGGGCGCAAGCCUGAUCCAGCAAUGCCGCGUGCAGGAUGAGGGCCUUCGGGUUGUAAACUGCUUUUGUACGGAACGAAAAGCCCUCUUCUAAUACAGGAGGGUCAUGACGGUACCGUAAGAAUAAGCACCGGCUAACUACGUG
rnacentral:rRNA from 1 species